UACGUAGGGGGCAAGCGUUGUCCGGAUUUAUUGGGCGUAAAGAGCUCGUAGGUGGUUCGGUAAGUCGGAUGUGAAAUCUCCAGGCUCAACCUGGAGGGGUCAUUCGAUACUGCCGUGACUAGAGUUCGGUAGGGGAGUGUGGAAUUCCUGGUGGAGCGGUGAAAUGCGCAGAUAUCAGGAGGAACACCCGUAGCGAAGGCGGCACUCUGGGCCGAUACUGACGCUAAGGCGCGAAAGCGUGGGGAGCGAACAGG
rnacentral:rRNA from 1 species